rnacentral:rRNA from 1 species
GUCCACGCUGUAAACGAUGAAUACUAGGUAUUGGAGGAUUUGACCCCUACAGUGCCGUAGCUAACGCGUUAAGUAUUCCGCCUGGGAAGUACGGUCGCAAGACUAAAACUCAAAGGAAUUGACGGGGCCCGCACAAGCGGUGGAUUAUGUGGUUUAAUUCGAAGCAACGCGCAGAACCUUACCUAGGCUUGAAAUCCCAUGAAUCCCUUUUAAACGAGGGAGUGCUCUUCGGAGAAUAUGGUGACAGGCGCUGCAUGGCUGUCGU